ACGCACGCUGGCGGCGUGCUUCACCCCUGCAAGUCGAACGGAAAGGCCCUGCUUUUGUGGGGUGCUCGAGUGGCGAACGGGUGAGUAACACGUGAGUAACCUGCCCUUGACUUUGGGAUAACUUCAGGAAACUGGGGCUAAUACCGGAUAGGAGCUCCUGCUGCAUGGUGGGGGUUGGAAAGUUUCGGCGGUUGGGGAUGGACUCGCGGCUUAUCAGCUUGUUGGUGGGGUAGUGGCUUACCAAGGCUUUGACGGGUAGCCGGCCUGAGAGGGUGACCGGCCACAUUGGGACUGAGAUACGGCCCAGACUCCUACGGGAGGCAGCAGUGGGGAAUAUUGCACAAUGGGCGGAAGCCUGAUGCAGCAACGCCGCGUGCGGGAUGACGGCCUUCGGGUUGUAAACCGCUUUCGCCUGUGACGAAGCGUGAGUGACGGUAAUGGGUAAAGAAGCACCGGCUAACUACGUG
rnacentral:rRNA from 1 species